AUUUCCAUAGAUUAUUGGACAGGAAACAUGGAGCGCAUACGUCGACAACAAAGAUCUUUUAAAAUAAUGUUUGUGAAGACAUUUCACAUGUCUUAUUUGAAUCUUAAGCUUGUCGACGCCUGCGCUCUAUGUUUCCUGGUCCUUUAUUUGGUUGAAAUCUAGCUGAUUUUGUCAAAUUUCACCAAAAUCCCAUAUCUUGACCUUUUUUGGAUGUAAAAAUCAACGUGUUAGAAUUAAACUUUGACAAAAACAGUUCUGUUCAACUUUCUAACAUGUCUUUAAGGCAACUUAAAACAUUUAUUGUCUUGUAAUUAUGAACUUUAUAAUUGGGGCCAAAUAUGGCCCUUACCGAACUUACUCCUUUGAGCUU
rnacentral:lncRNA from 1 species